CAUGCUGAAUAUACUGGUUCUCGUUAGAUCACCGAAGUUAAGCAUCAUUGGGCGCGGUCAGUACUUGGGUGGGUGACCAU